AACGAACGCUGGCGGCAUGCCUAACACAUGCAAGUCGAACGAGACCUUCGGGUCUAGUGGCGCACGGGUGCGUAACGCGUGGGAACCUGCCCUUAGGUUCGGAAUAACUCCCCGAAAGGGGUGCUAAUACCGGAUAAUGUCUUCGGACCAAAGAUUUAUCGCCUUUGGAUGGGCCCGCGUUGGAUUAGCUAGUUGGUAGGGUAAAAGCCUACCAAGGCGACGAUCCAUAGCUGGUCUGAGAGGAUGAUCAGCCACACUGGGACUGAGACACGGCCCAGACUCCUACGGGAGGCAGCAGUGGGGAAUAUUGGACAAUGGGCGAAAGCCUGAUCCAGCAAUGCCGCGUGAGUGAUGAAGGCCUUAGGGUUGUAAAGCUCUUUUACCCGUGAUGAUAAUGACAGUACCGGGAGAAUAAGCUCCGGCUAACUCCGUG
rnacentral:rRNA from 1 species